rnacentral:rRNA from 1 species
UACCGGGAGAAUAAGCUCCGGCUAACUCCGUGCCACCGACCGCGGUAAUACGGAGGGAGCUAGCGUUGUUCGGAAUUACUGGGCGUAAAGCGUACGUAGGCGGUUACUCAAGUCAGAGGUGAAAGCCCGGGGCUCAACCCCGGAACUGCCUUUGAAACUAGGUAGCUAGAAUCUUGGAGAGGUCAGUGGAAUUCCGAGUGUAGAGGUGAAAUUCGUAGAUAUUCGGAAGAACACCAGUGGCGAAGGCGACUGACUGGACAAGUAUUGACGCUGAGGUACGAAAGCGUGGGGAGCAAACAGGAUUAGAUACCCUGGUAGUCCACGCCGUAAACGAUGAUAACUAGCUGUCCGGGCACUUGGUGCUUGGGUGGCGCAGCUAACGCAUUAAGUUAUCCGCCUGGGGAGUACGGUCGCAAGAUUAAAACUCAAAGGAAUUGACGG